GAUGAACGCUAGCUACAGGCUUAACACAUGCAAGUCGAGGGGCAGCAUUUUAGUUGCUUGACAAACUGAAGAUGGCGACCGGCGCACGGGUGAGUAACACGUAUCCAACCUGCCGAUAACUCCGGAAUAGCCUUUCGAAAGAAAGAUUAAUACCGGAUAGUAUACGAAUAUCGCAUGAUAUUUUUAUUAAAGAAUUUCGGUUAUCGAUGGGGAUGCGUUCCAUUAGUUUGUUGGCGGGGUAACGGCCCACCAAGACUACGAUGGAUAGGGGUUCUGAGAGGAAGGUCCCCCACAUUGGAACUGAGACACGGUCCAAACUCCUACGGGAGGCAGCAGUGAGGAAUAUUGGUCAAUGGGCGAGAGCCUGAACCGGCCAAGUAGCGUGAAGGAUGAAGGCUCUAUGGGUCGUAAACUUCUUUUAUAUGGGAAUAAAGUUUUCCACGUGUGGAAUUUUGUAUGUACCAUAUGAAUAAGGAUCGGCUAACUCCGUG
rnacentral:rRNA from 1 species